CGGCCCCGCCCCUCACGUCACCGCCCGACGGCCCCGCCCCGCGCCCCAAGUUUUGGGAGGGUUCCGCUCUCCCCACCCGGUACCAGGACCCACCCGGGCCCGCGCUCCCUGCGGCUUCCAGGGACCCUCCAGCCCCCACGCACCCUCCUGCAAAGCCGAGGGUUAAGCUGGGGAAAGGGGGCCUCUAGGAAGGCGACCCCCCUGGAAAUGCCUGGCAGCUCCAAAAACACUAAUGAAACUCAGCUCCAGCCUCCGCCCCUCCAGUUGUGGGUGGCCCCUCUUGCGGUUCGUCUGAGGCUAGGGGACUAGGCGCAUCGCCUAGCGAGACUCCAGUGGCCUUUUCUGUCCAGUUUGUAACCGGAACUAGACCGACCCCGGCCGCCCCCUCCAGUGCUGGGGCGGGUGAGGAAUGGCCCCGCCGGGGAGGCGGGGGAGGGAGGCCUGGGCCACCCUGGGGUCUGACCUUUGCUCCACCUCUUAGGUGCUCACGACCCAGAGUGGUGCCCUGCUUGGUACUGCCACUGGAUCCUCUGGCUUAUGAAGCCGUCCAGGACAGGAAGGGUGGGGGGUGGUCCUUAGUUCUCUUCGUGGGGUCAUGCAGAGUGGUUUCCUCGAGGUCCCACGCCCGUCUCAGGAAGCCAGAAACGCAAGAUGCCGGGCGCUCGGCCCGAACCCGUGCCGCGGCCCAAGGGGCAAGGCGGAUACCGAGGCAAGGCCUAAAGGGCCGGACUCUGACCGCACCCUCCGGACACUGCAGGGCUCCGCCGGCCAGAGGCGGCCUUGGCGCCAACCACACCUAGCAGCGGGGUCCCCGGGCCCACCGAUGCGCCCUCCUAGCCCCGCGCUCCUUCGAGGGGUUCCAAGGUGACUCAGAGACGCAGCUGACACAAUUCUGAGGCCCCCAGGCUCUCGGAGGCGGAAUCAGCUGGAAAGGAACAUUGCUAAGUAGGAAUUUCAGGCACCUGUGAACUGAGCCCACUCAAUAAUCGGCCCUUUCCCUUAACCAAACUCAGCAAAGGAAGAAAGACCAAGUUGCUGCGGAUGCACAGAGCCACGUGGGUGCGGGUCCUCUAGAAACAGGAAUUCAGAGUCAGUAGAUAUGGAAAUGUUAUGGUUUGCAGUCUUCGGACCAUGCUGCUUUCAUGCUGUUCACAUGAUUCUCCUCGGACUGCGAGUCUUGGCCAUGGAACCAAGUCCCCAUCAGGAUAAAGUAUGAGUGGUAUCUUG
rnacentral:lncRNA from 1 species